rnacentral:rRNA from 1 species
GACGGAGGGUGCUAGCGUUGUUCGGAAUUACUGGGCGUAAAGGGUGCGUAGGCGGCACCGCAAGUCAUGGGUGAAAGCCCGGGGCUCAACCCCGGAAUUGGCCGUGAAACUGCGGCGCUCGAGGCCGAGAGAGGGGGGUGGAAUACCCAGUGUAGAGGUGAAAUUCGUAGAUAUUGGGUGGAACACCGGUGGCGAAAGCGGCCCCCUGGCUCGGUCCUGACGCUGAGGCACGAAAGCGUGGGGAGCAAACAGG